UUACGGCCAUAUCAUACUGAAACACCGGUCCUCAUACGGUCAUCGAAGUCAAGCAAUGCCGAGCCUGGUCAGUAUCUAGAUGAGUGACCAGUGAGAAAUACCGGGUGUUGUAA